AACUUUCUGAAACAUUAGCUCUCACUCUUUCUCUAAGUGACUUUGAGAUGAAGCAAUUUCUGGAGAGGUUUAGGAUAAGCAGCUUGGAUGUCAGAAAGGCCAAUCUCUGAUUUUAGAGACGAAAGUACUGAAUCACAGAGCCAGCUGGUGGCAGAGCUAGGGAUCAGGGCCAUGGACCUCCUGACCGCUCAGGGAACCUGGAACCUGCUCUGUUUGCUGGUGGUGAGUUGGAGCUGAAGGAGGAAGCAGACACCCCUGCUGUAGGUUGUGGGGACAGGUGACUUCCCCUGGGCCACUUGCUGCCCACCCCUGCCUCCUUGACAGGGUCCCACACGGAGUCAAAGUAUCCAUGGGGACAGUCCUCACCUGCUUCCCAAUCCAGAGACUCAGAGCCAUAAGGCUUUGGUUCUGCUUCUAGAUAUACUUUUGCUUUUUCUGAAGCAUUGGCCCUGGCCCUUACCAGCCCUGGGCCUUACCCCGGGUCAGCUGUAAAAUCAAGAGAAUUGCGCAUCGCUCCAAGCCCGCAAUGCUUUGGGUUCUUCAGAGACAAGGGCGAGGGAAGAGACUUCUCCAACAGAAGGGCACGAGCCUCAUGAAGGUGGGGGGCCCAGAGCAUUCAAGUUCAACAACCGUUGGCCUGCGAUGCUGACUAGUUAUGAUGCAUGGGAGUCAACCUUACAAGCAUUUACUGAGCUGGACAUUUUUCUUGAAUAAUUUGCACAAUAACGCUAAGAGGUGGGGUCCAUUUUUAUUUCAGUUUUACAGAGAGCAGAAACUGGAAGUUACAGAGAAAGCUGAAAUAACUUGGCCCGAAGUCACUCAGCUAAGAAGUGGCUGUGUCCAAGCUCACAUUCCGGGCUAUGCUGCGUCUCUAGACUGCGGCUUGAAGCUGUAUUUGUAAAGAUGGGGGAUAGAUGCUUGCAUGUGCUCAUAGGAUUCCAAGAAGAUGUGCAGUGGGAGCAUUUACAAACGAGUCUGUCUGUCUUCACCACCAACAUGUAGGCCAGCUUUCUCUGCCCCUCUGAGAAGUCUGCAAAAGGUCACAGCUGCAUGGCUCCAGAAGCUAUUUGUCUUUAAAUCAAGGGACCAGCAAAUACGGAUUAGUGAUCUGACCUCUCCAAUCCCAGUUCCUGGGAGACAAGAAGAGAGGUCAAGAGGGCAUCCUCCAAUCAGCUACAUCCAGGGGACUGGGGACAUGGGACUGCCAGGGUCACACUGGGAAAACAUCAUACAUGCUGUCUCAAGUCAAAUGGUUUGUCCUCCAUGAAGACCCCUGACCAGUCCUAUGGAAGAAGUCUCCUUUCUCCUGUGUUCCCAUAGCAUAUUCUCUGCCCUCUUCUAUCACACUUAUCGCUCUCUCCCUUGUAUUAGUUUUGCUUUUAUAAGCAUCUUCUCCCCCAGCCCAUGUAUCUAUAAGCUUCUUGUUUCUCUUCCUAUAUCUCACAGCUUGGGCCAAAUAAUUGGGUGUGCACUCAAUACAUAUUUGAAGUCACAAUCUUUCCCCAAUAAAUACAUUUUCAAGAAACUCA
rnacentral:lncRNA from 1 species